AACUAAAAUAAUUCAGCUAAAAUAAAUGCAAUCUUAUUCCAUUGACUGACACAAAUUAUAAAGUCUCACAGUUCUCAAUACGCAGUGGAACAAUAAAGACAGAACAUUGAUUUAAAUAAAACCUAAUCUAAGAUAACUUGUGCCAUAAUUCUUUUAUUCGCUCUCCCAUAUUGUAAAACUCCGGAUCGAGCUAAUUCUUCGGAUCUGUAAAAAUAGUAAGAAAUCGUAUAAUGAGCUAGACAGUCCAGUAAGUAAUAAACACCUUAACUAGUCAAUUCAUAUAAUAACAUAAAAUAUGAAUACAAAUUAGGAUGAGUCAGCAUAAUAACAUAAUCAAUUCAUUUUCAAAUACAAAUUCAUUGAAAUCCGUAUCUUUCAAAUAUCCAUGUACAUAAUCGUAAAUCUAAUUCGAAACAAAUCACAUUCAACUCAACAGCCUUUAGCUACGACCACACUUAUACCCUGUGGCUAGGCCAGAAACAGAACCGCACUUAUACCCUGCGGUGUGGGCCAGAAUACCGCAC
rnacentral:lncRNA from 1 species